rnacentral:other from 1 species
AAGUCUGACAACGAAGCGUACAUCAGGAUGAUGUUGCUUCAGGGACACACCGGGAAGGUGCUACAGGGAAAGGCUUCAGGAUGAAGCAGCAGGACAACGCAGGAUUGCGCUAAGGGACACCUCCAGGAAGGAGAAUGAGAGCCGGUCAGGAUGGCCGACAGAUCAGGAUGAUCAGGGACACGCAUUAAGGAUGAGGCUAAGUCACAUCGGGGUGGUGUGAGCAUGAUGCACAGUUCACGGAUGAACCGGUCAGGAGACCACAGGAAAAGUUUUCAAGGAUGAGCAGGGAGCACAACGAGUAGCCGGACUGCUACGAAACGAACCGGGAGCACUGUUUUUACAGUGCUCCCUUUUUUUAUU